UUAUACUGUGAAACUGCGAAUGGCUCAUUAAAUCAGUUAUCGUUUAUUUGAUAGUACCUUGCUACAUGGAUACCUGUGGUAAUUCUAGAGCUAAUACAUGCUAAAAACCCCGACUUCAGGAAGGGGUGUAUUUAUUAGAUAAAAAACCAACGCCCUUCGGGGCUCCUUGGUGAAUCAUAAUAACUUAACGAAUCGCAUGGCCUUGCGCCGGCGAUGGUUCAUUCAAAUUUCUGCCCUAUCAACUUUCGAUGGUAGGAUAGUGGCCUACCAUGGUGGCAACGGGUAACGGGGAAUUAGGGUUCGAUUCCGGAGAGGGAGCCUGAGAAACGGCUACCACAUCCAAGGAAGGCAGCAGGCGCGCAAAUUACCCAAUCCCGAUACGGGGAGGUAGUGACAAUAAAUACUGAUACGGGGCUCUUUUGGGUCUCGUAAUUGGAAUGAGAACAAUUUAAAUCCCUUAACGAGGAACAAUUGGAGGGCAAGUCUGGUGCCAGCAGCCGCGGUAAUUCCAGCUCCAAUAGCGUAUAUUAAAGUUGUUGCAGUUAAAAAGCUCGUAGUUGAACCUUGGCCCUGGCUGGCCGGUCCGCCUCACCGCGAGUACUGGUCCGGCUGGGGCUUUCCUUCUGGGGAACCUCAUGGCCUUCACUGGCUGUGGGGGGAACCAGGACUUUUACUGUGAAAAAAUUAGAGUGUUCAAAGCAGGCCUUUGCUCGAAUACAUUAGCAUGGAAUAAUAGAAUAGGACGUGCGGUUCUAUUUUGUUGGUUUCUAGGACCGCCGUAAUGAUUAAUAGGGAUAGUCGGGGGCGUCAGUAUUCAGCUGUCAGAGGUGAAAUUCUUGGAUUUGCUGAAGACUAACUACUGCGAAAGCAUUCGCCAAGGAUGUUUUCAUUAAUCAGGGAACGAAAGUUAGGGGAUCGAAGACGAUCAGAUACCGUCGUAGUCUUAACCAUAAACUAUGCCGACUAGGGAUCGGACGGGAUUCUAUGAUGACCCGUUCGGCACCUUACGAGAAAUCAAA
rnacentral:rRNA from 1 species